GUUCUUGUUGAGCUGCAUUGCUGCAAGGUUUAAGAAAUUCAAAACAGUGAGGAGAUGUUGAAGAUAAGUCACAGAUGUCUUCAAUGUUUAAGGUACAAAGAAAGUAGACAAGGCAAACAAAGUCAUACAUAGUUCUAUUUCAUGUACUUGAACAGGUUCUAAGAUCAAACAUCAGAGUGUAUUAGAGAAUUACCUGGGCCUGUGAAGAAGUUGCUGAUGGAGUUAGAAACACCAAAUAUUU